GACGAACGCUGGCGGCGUGCUUAACACAUGCAAGUCGAACGAUGAAGCCGGAGCUUGCUCUGGUGAAUUAGUGGCGAACGGGUGAGUAACACGUGAGUAACCUGCCCUUGACUCUGGGAUAACUGCGGGAAACUGUAGCUAAUACCGGAUACGACCCUCGGAGGCAUCUCCUGGGGGUUGAAAGAAUUUCGGUCAAGGAUGGACUCGCGGCCUAUCAGCUAGUUGGUGAGGUAAAGGCUCACCAAGGCGACGACGGGUAGCCGGCCUGAGAGGGUGACCGGCCACACUGGGACUGAGACACGGUCCAUACACCUACGGGUGGCAGCAGUAGGGAAUAUUGGUUAAUCUGCGAAAGCGGGAACCAGCAACGCCGCGUGUGCGAUGACGGCCUUCGGGUUGUAAAGCACUUUUAUGGAGGAUGAGGAAGGACAGUACUUCAUGAAUAAGUCUCGGCUAACUACGUGCCAGCCGCCGCUGUAA
rnacentral:rRNA from 1 species